CAGAGAUGGCAGAUAGACAGGGAUUCCAGGGGCCCUGGGAACCGUCUGUGCCUCCAAGCCCUCCGCAUGACCUCCCUCUCCUGCAACAUAGAUCUGUGACUCUGUCCCGUGUCACCAACACCCCUGUGCAGUGGGUGGCACCAAGGAUAUGUUUUGCACAUUUUGUGGAUUGCAGUAUUUCACAGCAGAAGAGUGAAGACCUCAGGCUCAGAUGGGACACAGCAAGAGAGGACUACAUAACUACUGUUUUCACCCCCAUUUCACGGAGAGGAACACUGAGGGUCAGAAGAAAAUGACCAGCUCAGGAACCUACAAAUCCAGACUGGAAUCCAGCCUCAGCAGCUCCCGGCUCUGGUCUCUUCCCGCUGCCUUACAUCAUGCCGAUUGCGUUGCAUUGCAAGAGGCAGGUGUCAUGCUGUGGAGCUUCAUCCCUGGCCCAGCCCUGGUCUUUUCUCAGCACCAGCCUCACAGAUCUUCCAGCAGGCCUUGGACCCUCCCAAGUGCUGGCUUGAGCCUCAGCAGAGAUAUCUGCCUGACCCCUGACUGAGAUUCCUGCCAGGACCCCCUGAGACAAGCUGCCCCAGAGUCCUCCGGUGUCAGUAAGGACUGAGGACUGUGUGAACUUCCAGCCACCCUAAAAGACCCUUCUUGCCCAUGACUCCCCUCAGAUCCAACCCAACUGCCAGGUCCCAUCCCAGACUGGAGCUCUAUAAGCCCCGGAUGCAGCCUUUCUGUGUUCUGAGCCUCACUGGGCCCUGCUCAUUGUCACCUAAGCUUGUUUGACUUGGGACACCCAGAGAGACAGGAUGCCUUGAUAGAAUGACUUCACAGACCUGGAUAGCAGGCAACAGGUCCCAAGGGACAGGUGUGUGUGUGCACCCAUCCCACGCUAUGCCCACCCUCCUGGGGCAUUGUCUGAGGGACAUUGUCCGGAGUGCUGGGCGGGUCCUUUAUGGUCAGGCAUAAAAGGUAAUCAUUGACCAUAUCAAUGCUGCCCUGCGCGUCAGUGCCCGCCCAGGCAUGGCCCUGCCAGGGCCUGGAUUACUUUACAGUCACAUAAAAGGAACCUCCAGACUGGGCCCUGAGGACUUUGGCCCCAAGGGGGGAGCAGGA
rnacentral:lncRNA from 1 species